GGGGCAUCGGAUGAAGUGCUUACUGCAUUUUUUCUUACACAUGUGUUUUUCUUUUUUUGAAAACUUUGCUUUGGUAGGCCUUCUAUAUGGGGCCUGCCAGAGAUUAAACUCAACCAAAUUUUAUUUAAUGUCAACCGAUUAUUUAAUAGUCAAAACUUUCAACAACGGAUCUCUUGGUUCUCGCAUCGAUGAAGAACGCAGCGAAAUGCGAUAAGUAAUAUGAAUUGCAGAUAUUCGUGAAUCAUCGAAUCUUUGAACGCACAUUGCGCCCUUUGGUAUUCCAAAGGGCAUGCCUGUUUGAGCGUCAUUUCUCCCUCAAACCCUCGGGUUUGGUGUUGAGCGAUACGCUGGGUUUGCUUGAAAGAAAGGCGGAGUAUAAACUAAUGGAUAGGUUUUUUCCACUCAUUGGUACAAACUCCAAAACUUCUUCCAAAUUCGACCUCAAAUCAGGUAGGACUACCCGCUGAACUUAAGCAUAUCAAA
rnacentral:rRNA from 1 species